rnacentral:rRNA from 1 species
CAGCGCCGCGGUAAUACGUAGGGUGCAAGCGUUAAUCGGAAUUACUGGGCGUAAAGCGUGCGCAGGCGGUUAUAUAAGACAGAUGUGAAAUCCCCGGGCUCAACCUGGGAACUGCAUUUGUGACUGUAUAGCUAGAGUACGGCAGAGGGGGAUGGAAUUCCGCGUGUAGCAGUGAAAUGCGUAGAUAUGCGGAGGAACACCGAUGGCGAAGGCAAUCCCCUGGGCCUGUACUGACGCUCAUGCACGAAAGCGUGGGGAGCAAACAGGAUUAGAUACCCCGGUAGUCCCUGUCUCUUAUACC